rnacentral:RNase_P_RNA from 1 species
AGUAAGCUGUGCGGUAGCGGACGCCGUUAUUCGGCGGAUGAGGAAAGUCCGAGCAUCACAGAGCGGGAUAGCUGAUAACAUCAGCCGAGGGCGACCUUAGGGAAAGUGCAACAGAAAUAAACCGCCGUCCUUAGGGGCGGUAAGGAUGGAAAGGCGAGGUAAGAGCUCACCGAGGGGCAGGAGACUGCUCCGUCAUGUAAACCCUAUCCGAUGCAACACCGUUUGGUUCGGCAUAUCAACGCCUGCUCGGCGGAUAUGCUGUUAUAGGUGGCUUGAGUCCUGCGGCGACGCAGGAAUUAGAUAGAUUACCGCACUCGACAGAACUCGGCUUACAGGCUUGGUCG